rnacentral:lncRNA from 1 species
CCAAAACCAGAAAAAAAAAAAUCUUACCUUGAAUGUAGGCGAACCAAAAAAGUGCAUACAGCGUUAACAAAAUGAAAACAUUAUUUAUUGAAUAUGAACAUGCCGAGUUCAUUCUACGUCAUCAUCGCUGCUAGCGUCGUCGCUAUCUGCCUUAUCGCUGUCAUCUUCAAACAGUACGCUAUAUUCAGUAAAUGCCAUCCUCGUUGUGGCGCACACAAAAAGCAUCUCCCGUUGUCCCUUCCAACGACGGACGGUUUUCUCAUCGAUGCCAAAGUCCCGCCCGGCUUGAACGUUUAAAAAUACCUCUGCGGCUAGCACAACUUUUCGUUUGAAAGCGGCACUAUAGUGGCAUCGCCUGUUUGGUGCCAUUCAUAACGCGACACCGCACGCCGAUACGACAAAGGUCAAAAUGGUGACGUCACUUGUGUACUUCAGCUGGCUACUGGCGUGGCUAGUAGCGGCUACAAUACUGACUUUUCUAGAUGGGGCUAGCUACGCACCAUAUUUAUCAAUUGCAGUUAAACUGGCGCGAUUUUUAAAAUCCUUGAAUCUAAGCCAACCCUAUAGUUUGGUAUAUGAUUAU